ACCAGGACUGGAGGACAGACUGAAUACAACUGAUGUCCAGGCAGAAACACAAAGAACCCUGCUGGCACAAAUACAGUUAGAAAUUAAAGAGAUUGAGUCCAGACUAGAAUCCAGUGAGAAUCUGGAAAAGGAGUUGGUCACCUGGCUUGGAAACACAGAGACAGAGGUGGAGGCACUAAAGAUUGUUGAUCAAGGUUUGAAUUCCAGGCUGUCAGCCAGUGAAAGUCUGACUGGGGAGCUGCAGAUCAGCUUUGAAGAUACACUGAGACGAGUGGAGGCACUCAAUACAACUGAUCAAGAACUGGCAGCCAGACUGGGAGUCUCUGAAAGCCUGAGUGAGGACCUGAAGAUUAAGACCGCAGACAUGGAAAGGGAGGUGAAAGCUCUCAAGACAGCUCAUAAAGAGCUCAAGUUCCGAGUAGAAGCCAACGAGGGCCUGGCCAAGGAAAUGAAUGCACGCCUUGAUGUUACCCAAACAAAAGUGGAAGCGGUGGAGAAAAAAAAUCAAG